rnacentral:snRNA from 1 species
GUUUUUUGGCUGCAACAUCUGUCACCUGUUGUUUGCGCCAGGCUUGAUUCAGCAGAUCUGGCUGGCUAUGCAGGUGUCUGUGAUCUCCCUCACCACUCCAUGUGCGUCCCUCCCGAAGCUGCACGCUCUGUCAUGAGGAUGACCAUCCUGGGACCAGCAGUUAGUGUAAUGACUAUG